GUUUUAGUAAUUUAAAUAAAAUAUUGGUCUUGUAAAUCAAAUAUAAGUGUCAACUUCUAAAACU
rnacentral:tRNA from 1 species